CCGCGGUUGUGGGUGUCCCGCGGCGCCGGAAACUGGGCGCACACACCCUCGGAUUGACGUGCGCACGCGCACCGGUUACCUUCAGGAGCGCCGAAGAAGGAAAGAAGACUGCCAGCUCCGUGACAGCAAGAACCUUGUAUGACUUUUUCAUGAUGGAUGUUCAUCUGUGCCAUCUGUAAAUAUUGAAUAAAUAUUUGUGGAAUACAUGAAUCUAAAAGUGAAUGGAAUGAUAAAGAGGGAAAGGGUCAUGACAUCUACUACAGCAUUUGGCACAGACCCAGGUUUCCCUGGUACUGGUAAUUCCCAGCAGCUUUCUACAAUUCCAAAGGUCAGAAAUAAACUGCCAAAAAAUUUUUACUAAAUCAUGUUCUGGUCUGGGAUACAGCCCUGAAAUGCACUUUGAGCAAGAAAGACUUUGUAGAGGAGAAAAAAGGUGGACCAAUGAGGAUUGGGCUAGAACCAGAGGAAAGUGAACAUUCUUGGUUUAGAUAAAUAUCCACAACCUUCUAAGGUUUUCAUGUGUACUACAGAGAAGCUCCAGGCUCCUACAUUUCCCUGUGGGUAGUUUUAAAAAGCUACUGUAGCAAAACAGAGGCUGGUGGUGACUACGCUUAUCUUUUAGAAGAGCCAUCAUUGCAUUUCUGCAGCACAGAAUAUAUACGUGUUUUUUACUCUUAGUGGUGGAGUUUAUAUGUGACUCAUGAUGUUUAGUUGUUAAUCAUCCAAUGAUACUAAAUACUGCUUAGUUAGCUCAGUAUUCCCUUUAGGAAACCAGAUAUUGCUAAAGUCACUGUUCGACUUAAUGGGGAAAAUUCCACUAACAUCUAAAAUAUGUGAUUUAUAAUUCAAAAAUGUAAAUACUGUAUUGGUAUUACAUACUAUAAAAGGACAAUUGUCUACACAAUUACAUAACAUGCAUGUAAGGAUCAAUAUUUAAUUAAGACUAUUUUUGUAUUCUCAUUGGGAGUUAGAGCCCAAUAUUCUCAAUUGGGUGAGAAUUUCAGCCAAAUGGUCUAUCCAUUUUCUUUUCUUUCUUUCUUUUUUUUUUUUGAGACAGAUCUUGCUUUGUUGCCCAGGCUGGAGUGCAAUGGUGUGAUUUUGGCUCACUGCAACCUCCGCCUCCUGGGUUCAAGCGAUUCUCCUGUCUCAGACUCCCGAAUAGCUGGGAUUACAGGUGUGCACCACCAUGCCUGGCUAAUUUUUGUAUUUUUAGUAGAGGUGGGGUUUCACCAUGUUGGUUAGGCUGGUGUCAAACUCCUGACCUCAGGUGAUCUGCCUGCCUCGGCCUCCCAAAGUGGUGGGAUUACAGGCGUGAGCCACUGUGCCUGGCCAGUCUAUCCAUUUUCUAUUUCCCCAAAGUAACUUGUGAGAAAUGUCUUAGGCUAGAAUUUGCUUAUAUAUUUUCCAUCUUGCACAUGGUUAAAACGUGCAGUUUCCUAAACCAGUGGUUCUCGAACAUCAGUGUGCAUUAGAAUCACCUGGAGGGCUGGUUAAAACACAGAUUGCCAGGCCGUUCUCAGGGUUUCUGAUUUAGUAAGUCUGGCGGUUGGACCCGAGAAUCUGCAUUUCUAACCAGUGAUUCCCAAGUGAUGCUGAUGCUGCAGGUCUGGGGACCAAUGUCUUGAACUAACAGCUCUGAAUAAAAAUCUAAUUGGAUUCUGAAUGCCACAGAUGCAGUUUGGAGAUUGUUUUUCAAAGCAGAAUAUCCAUUUGUGGAAUAAAAAAGUUUAUCAUUGUUAUUACCUGAAGUAAUUUCUCUUUCCUUUGUGUUUUUAGAGGAGUUUUGUUGGUCGCUUUUAUCAGGCAUUAGGCCUUGUAUUACAUUCAUUUGUGCCUAUGCUUUAUCUCCUUUGUGACUGUGAGCUCUUUGAAGGACUGUGUUCAUCUUUAAAUCCUCAUUGUACCUUACAUCUUGUAGACUUCAAAUCAUUGUUUGGUAAAUUGAAUUUAGUGAUGUGUACAUGUUUUGUGCCUGCUUUCCUACAUGUAAUAAUUAUAAACAACAAAUAUCAAGUUAAGUAUGC
rnacentral:lncRNA from 10 species